UACAGAGGGGGCAAGCGUUGUUCGGAAUUACUGGGCGUAAAGGGCGCGUAGGCGGCCUGCUAAGUCGAACGUGAAAUCCCCGGGCUCAACCCGGGAACUGCGUCCGAGACUGGCGGGCUCGAAUUCGGGAGAGGGAUGCGGAAUUCCAGGUGUAGCGGUGAAAUGCGUAGAUAUCUGGAGGAACACCGGUGGCGAAGGCGGCAUCCUGGACCGAUAUUGACGCUGAUGCGCGAAAGCCAGGGGAGCAAACGGG
rnacentral:rRNA from 1 species